rnacentral:rRNA from 1 species
UACGUAGGGUCCGAGCGUUGUCCGGAAUUACUGGGCGUAAGGAGCUCGUAGGUGGUUUGUCGCGUUGUUCGUGAAAACUCACAGCUCAACUGUGGGCGUGCGGGCGAUACGGGCAGACUGGAGUACUGCAGGGGAGACUGGAAUUCCUGGUGUAGCGGUGGAAUGCGCAGAUAUCAGGAGGAACACCGGUGGCGAAGGCGGGUCUCUGGGCCGAUACUGACGCUGAGGAGCGAAAGCGUGGGGAGCAAACAGG